rnacentral:rRNA from 1 species
AGCGAACGCUGGCGGCAGGCCUAAUACAUGCAAGUCGAACGGCUCUUCGGAGCAGUGGCGGACGGGUGAGUAACGCGUGGGAACGUGCCCAAAGGUACGGAACAACUGAGGGAAACUUCAGCUAAUACCGUAUGUGCCCUUAGGGGAAGAUUAUCGCCUUGGAGCGGCCCGCGUUGGAUUAGCUAGUUGGUGGGGUAAAGGGCCUACCAAGGCUACGAUCCAUAGCUGGUCUGAGAGGANGAUCAGCCACACUGGGACUGAGACACGGCCCAGACUCCUACGGGAGGCAGCAGUAGGGAAUCUUGCGCAAUGGGCGGAAAGCCUGACGCAGCCAUGCCGCGUGAAUGAUGAAGGUCUUAGGAUUGUAAAAUUCUUUCACCGGGGAAGAUAAUGACGGUACCCGGAGAAGAAGCCCCGGCUAACUUCGUGCCAGCAGCCGCCGUAAG